CCUGCACCCCGAAUUCUGAAGUGCGGCACGUCAUUGAGGAUGGCAUGCUGCAUUUAUACAUCUACUCGUUGAGGCCCAUCAUCAAAGGCACAGAGAUCACCAUUGGUUUUGAUUAUGACUAUGGCAGCUGUAAAUACAAGGUGGACUGUGCCUGCGUGAAGGGGAACCAGGAGUGCCCGGUGCUCAAGCACAACCUAGAGCCCACAGAGAACCUGGGCUCUGGAGGCCG